rnacentral:rRNA from 1 species
UACGAAGGGGGCUAGCGUUGCUCGGAAUCACUGGGCGUAAAGGGUGCGUAGGCGGGUCUUUAAGUCAGGGGUGAAAUCCUGGAGCUCAACUCCAGAACUGCCUUUGAUACUGAGGAUCUUGAGUUCGGGAGAGGUGAGUGGAACUGCGAGUGUGGAGGUGAAAUUCGUAGAUAUUCGCAAGAACACCAGUGGCGAAGGCGGCUCACUGGCCCGAUACUGACGCUGAGGCGCGAAAGCUAGGGGAGCGAACGGG